rnacentral:rRNA from 1 species
UAGUAGCUGCUGUGCCUAACACAUGCAGUCGUACGAGAAAGUCCCCGCAAGGGGAUGAGUAAAGUGGCGAACGGGUGAGUAACACGUAGGCAAUCUACCCUUCAGUUGGGGAUAACUCCGCGAAAGCGGGGCUAAUACCAGAUGAAAUCCCGAAAGCGCAUGCUCUUUGGGUUCAAAGAUGGCCUCUGUCUCAAGCUAUCGCUGAAGGAUGAGCCUGCGGCUGAUUAGCUUGUUGGUAGGGUAACGGCCUACCAAGGCGAUGAUCAGUAGCCGGCCUGAGAGGGUGAUCGGCCACACUGGAACUGAAACACGGUCCAGACUCCUACGGGAGGCAGCAGUGGGGAAUAUUGCGCAAUGGGCGAAAGCCUGACGCAGCAACGCCGCGUGGGUGAUGAAGGCCUUCGGGUUGUAAAGCCCUGUCAGGUGGAACGAAUCUCUCUCGAGCGAAUAACUCGAGGGAAUGACGGUACCACCAGAGGAAGCCCCGGCAAACUACGUGCCAGCAGCCGCGGUAAUACGUAGGGGGCGAGCGUUGUUCGGAAUUACUGGGCGCAAAGAGCGCGUAGGCGGUCAAAUAAGUCAGGCGUGAAAUCCCUCAGCUUAACUGAGGUUCGGCGCUUGAAACUAUUUGACUUGAGUUUAGGAGAGGAGAGUGGAAUUCCCAGUGUAGCGGUGAAAUGCGUAGAUAUUGGGAGGAACACCGGUGGCGAAGGCGGCUCUCUGGACUAAUACUGACGCUGAGGCGCGAAAGCUAGGGGAGCAAACAGGAUUAGAUACCCUGGUAGUCCUAGCCGUAAACGAUGGGCACUAGGUGUGGGAGGUAUCGACCCCUUCCGUGCCGCAGCUAACGCAUUAAGUGCCCCCGCCUGGGGUAGUAUGGCCGCAAGGC